GACGUAGGGCGCGAGCGUUGUCCGGAUUUAUUGGGCGUAAGGAGCUCGUAGGCGGCUUGUUGCGUCGACCGUGAAAACUUGGGGCUUAACCUCAGGCUUGCGGUUGAUACGGGCAGGCUAGAGUUCGGUAGGGGAGACUGGAAUUCCUGGUGUAGCGGUGGAAUGCGCAGAUAUCAGGAGGAACACCGGUGGCGAAGGCGGGUCUCUGGGCAGUAACUGACGCUGAGGAGCGAAAGCGUGGGGAGCGAACAGG
rnacentral:rRNA from 1 species